CAUGAGAGUCUGUGGGGUCUAUUUUAUUUGCUGCUUGUAGUUUCCUUUUACUUUCUUGGCACAGAGAUGUGAGGCUGGGGCUGCAGAGGCCAUCUUGUGACCAGAAGAGACCACGACGGGGAAGCCACAUGCUACGAUGGCAGAAUAGAAGCCGGAAGAAACCUGAGCCCUUGAUGACAUCAUGGAGUCACUGCACCUCAGGACCAACUGCUUCAAUGUCCUGUGUCUCAUUGGUCCCUGGAGUGCAACGCCAGCUACUAUUUCACAUGAGGUCCCUGGGCCUCUACGAAGUAAAUUCAUCUUCCAGGGAUGCAACAAGAUAAUUUUUUGUCUAUUGAAUUUAAUAAUAAAA